CAGAGUUGCAAAACUCCCCAAACCAUCGUGAACCUUUACCGCUAAACAGUUGCUUCGGCGGGUGGCCAGGGGCGCGCGCAAGCCCGCCCCCGGCCGCCGAGCCCGCCGGAGGAAUCCAAAAAACCAUCGCUUUCAGUACCGGCCUCUCUGAGUUACUGUACUUUUAAUUAAGUCA
rnacentral:misc_RNA from 1 species